rnacentral:rRNA from 1 species
UUAGAGGAAGUAAAAGUCGUAACAAGGUUUCCGUAGGUGAACCUGCGGAAGGAUCAUUAUUGAACUCCCAACUUGGGUGAGGUUGUUGCUGGCCCUGAGGGGCAUGUGCACGUCUCGCUCAUUUUAUCUCUCACACCCCUGUGCACCUUUCAUGGGAUGGCUUGCGGCCGUCCGUCGGCCUUUGCGUCGAUGGCUCUGCAGCUGCCUCGUGUUUUUACAAACCUUUUAAUCAGUCUUGAAUGUUUAUCGCGCGCAUGCGCAUUUAAAUCAAUACAACUUUCAGCAACGGAUCUCUUGGCUCUCGCAUCGAUGAAGAACGCAGCGAAAUGCGAUAAGUAAUGUGAAUUGCAGAAUUCAGUGAAUCAUCGAAUCUUUGAACGCACCUUGCGCUCCUUGGUAUUCCGAGGAGCAUGCCUGUUUGAGUGUCAUGGUAUUCUCAAUUCGCUCUCAUUUUAUUGAGGGCGGCAUUGGAUGUGGAGGCUCUUUGCUGGCCAUUUUGUGCCAGCUCCUCUUAAAAAUAUUAGUGUGAAUGCUCACUUCAUGCUCAGUGUGAUAAUUAUCUUGCAUUGUGCUUGGGUGUGGCAACUUCAUGCUUCUAAUCGUCGCAAGACAACCUUUGACAAUCUGACCUCAAAUCAGGUAGGACUACCCGCUGAACUUAAGCAUAUCAAUAA